AUUUUCUUAAUUUUUUGUCAAUAAAACAUUUCACACAUAUUUUCAUGUUUAAUUCAAUUUGUAUCUUAUAAUAAUUAUAUUAGAUGCAUGUUUCAUUAUAAUACGUUAUUCUGAUUGGCUAACUUCACAUCACAUGUUAUUCCGUAAGCAAUUGCAGCACUCAAUAAAACUUAAUCAUUCAUGAUGACACAAGGUCCCACAAUAAAGUGCACAGGUGAAUUAAACAAAAACUUGAUAGAAAUCGUGUAUUAAUGAUCCUAGCUAAAAAAUGUAAUUAUAAG
rnacentral:lncRNA from 1 species